GGGGAUAUAGUAUAACCUGGCUAGAACAUCGGGCUCCAGACCUGAGGAUCUGGGUUCGAAUCCCAGUAUCCCCA
rnacentral:tRNA from 1 species